UACGUAGGGGGCGAGCGUUGUCCGGAUUUAUUGGGCGUAAAGAGCGUGUAGGCGGCUUUGCAGGUCCGCUGUGAAAACUCGAGGCUCAACCUCGAGCUGUCGGUGGAAACCGUGAAGCUAGAGUCCGGAAGAGGAGAGUGGAAUUCCUGGUGUAGCGGUGAAAUGCGCAGAUAUCAGGAGGAACACCGGUGGCGAAGGCGGGUCUCUGGGCCGAAAUUGACGCUGAGGAGCGAAAGCUAGGGGAGCAAACGGG
rnacentral:rRNA from 1 species